rnacentral:rRNA from 1 species
GAACGCUGGCGGCGUGCCUAAUACAUGCAAGUCGAACGAAUCUCUUUUAGAGAUGAGUGGCGAACGGGUGAGUAAUACAUAGGUAACCUGCCCCUGUGCGGGGGAUAACAGGAGGAAACUCCUGCUAAUACCGCAUAGCCAUGAGCACCGCAUGGAGCUCAUGCCAAAUAUCCUUUCGGGGAUAGCGCAGGGAUGGACCUAUGGCGCAUUAGCUUGUUGGCGGGGCAACGGCCCACCAAGGCAACGAUGCGUAGCCGGCCUGAGAGGGCGGACGGCCACAUUGGGACUGAGACACGGCCCAGACUCCUACGGGAGGCAGCAGUAGGGAAUUUUCGGCAAUGGGGGAAACCCUGACCGAGCAACGCCGCGUGAGCGAAGAAGGCCUUCGGGUCGUAAAGCUCUGUUGUAAAGGAAGAACGGCGCAUACAGGAAAUGGUAUGCGAGUGACGGUACUUUACCAGAAAGCCACGGCUAACUACGUGCCAGCAGCCGCGGUAAUACGUAGGUGGCGAGCGUUAUCCGGAAUCAUUGGGCGUAAAGAGGGAGCAGGCGGCCGCAAGGGUCUGUGGUGAAAGACCGAAGCUAAACUUCGGUAAGCCAUGGAAACCGGGCGGCUAGAGUGCGGAAGAGGAUCGUGGAAUUCCAUGUGUAGCGGUGAAAUGCGUAGAUAUAUGGAGGAACACCAGUGGCGAAGGCGACGGUCUGGGCCGCAACUGACGCUCAUUCCCGAAAGCGUGGGGAGCAAAUAGGAUUAGAUACCCUAGUAGUCCACGCCGUAAACGAUGGUCACUAAGUGUCGGGGGUCAAACCCCGGUGCUGCAGUCAACGCAAUAAGUGACCCGCCUGAGUAGUACGUUCGCAAGAAUGAAACUCAAAGGAAUUGAC